CUGCCAAGGGCAUGGCUGGGUAGCUGUGUACGGAAUGGAUAAGCGCUGAAAGCAUCUAAGCGCGAAGCCAACUUCAAGAUAAGAUUUCCCACCGCAAGGGUAAGACCCCAGAAAGACUAUCUGGUUGAUAGGUCGAAGGUGUAAGUGCAGCAAUGUAUUUAGCUUAUCGAUACUAAUAGGUCGAGGACUUGACCAAU
rnacentral:rRNA from 1 species